AUUGAACGCUGGCGGAAUGCUUUACACAUGCAAGUCGAACGGCAGCACGGACUUCGGUCUGGUGGCGAGUGGCGAACGGGUGAGUAAUGUAUCGGAACGUGCCCAGUCGUGGGGGAUAACGUAGUGAAAAUUACGCUAAUACCGCAUACGAUCUAUGGAUGAAAGCGGGGGAUCGCAAGACCUCGCGCGAUUGGAGCGGCCGAUAUCAGAUUAGGUAGUUGGUGGGGUGAAGGCCCACCAAGCCAACGAUCUGUAGCUGGUCUGAGAGGACGACCAGCCACACUGGAACUGAGACACGGUCCAGACUCCUACGGGAGGCAGAAGUGGGGAAUUUUGGACAAUGGGCGAAAGCCUGAUCCAGCCAUUCCGCGUGCAGGAUGAAGGCCCUCGGGUUGUAAACUGCUUUUGUACAGAACGAAAAGGUUUCUACUAAUACUAGGAGCUCAUGACGGUACUGUAAGAAUAAGCACCGGCUAACUACGUGCCAGCAGCCGCCGUAA
rnacentral:rRNA from 1 species